UACAGAGGUCCCAAGCGUUGUUCGGAUUCAUUGGGCGUAAAGGGUGCGUAGGCGGCUCGGUAAGUCGGGUGUGAAAUCUCGGGGCUUAACUCCGAAACUGCAUUCGAUACUGCCGUGCUUGAGGACUGGAGAGGAGACUGGAAUUUACGGUGUAGCGGUGAAAUGCGUAGAUAUCGGAAGGAAGACCAGUGGCGAAGGCGGGUCUCUGGACAGUUCCUGACGCUGAGGCACGAAGGUCAGGGGAGCAAACGGG
rnacentral:rRNA from 1 species